rnacentral:rRNA from 1 species
AAGAGAGAGGAGGAAGAGGAAGAGAAGCAGAGAAAGAAAGAGAAAGAAAAGGGAGGAGGAAAAGAAAACGGUCCUAAGGUAGCGAAAUUCAUUGUCGCGUAAGUCCCGACCCUCAGGAAAUGCGUAACGAUUUGGGCACUGUCGCAACAACAGACGCUGUGCAAGUGUCAUUCCGGUGAAGAUGCCGGAGACAUGCGACAGGACGGAAAGACCCCAUGGAGCUUUACUGUAGAUUGACAUUGGGUCUUGGUACUACAUGUACAGGAUAGGGGGGAGGCUUUGAAACCAGGACGCCAGUUUUGGCGGAGCCAUCCUGGGGAUACCACCCUUGUGUACUGGGACUCUAACCAUAGGCCAUGAAUCUGGACUUGGGACACUGUCAGGUGGGCAGUUUGACUGGGGCGGUCGCCUCCCAAA